GCCAGGUGUGGUGGCACACACCUGUAAUCCCAGCUACUCAGGAGGCUGAGGCAGGAGAAUUGCUUGAACCCAGGAGGUGGAGGUUGCAGUGAGCUGAGACCAUACCACUGCACUCCAGCCUGGGCAACAGAGCAAGACUCUGUCUCCA
rnacentral:SRP_RNA from 1 species